rnacentral:rRNA from 1 species
AUGGCGACCGGCGCACGGGUGAGUAACACGUAUCCAACCUGCCGAUGACUCGGGGAUAGCCUUUCGAAAGAAAGAUUAAUACCCGAUGGCAUAGUUCUUCCGCAUGGUAGAACUAUUAAAGAAUUUCGGUCAUCGAUGGGGAUGCGUCCCAUUAGCUUGUUGGCGGGGUAACGGCCCACCAAGGCAUCGAUGGAUAGGGGUUCUGAGAGGAAGGUCCCCCACAUUGGAACUGAGACACGGUCCAAACUCCUACGGAAGGCAGCAG